rnacentral:rRNA from 1 species
UACAGAGGGUGCAAGCGUUGUUCGGAAUUACUGGGCGUAAAGCGCGUGUAGGCGGUUUGAUAAGUCAGGUGUGAAAUCCCUAGGCUUAACCAAGGAACUGCAUUUGAAACUGUCAAGCUAGAGUGUCGGAGGGGAUGGCGGAAUUCCCGGUGUAGAGGUGAAAUUCGUAGAUAUCGGGAGGAACACCCGUGGCGAAGGCGGCCAUCUGGAAGACUACUGACGCUGAGACGCGAAAGCGUGGGGAGCAAACAGG